AGGAUGUUCAAGUUUAAUUUUUUUCUAAUAGCAUAAUUCCUACUCUGGUCAAUUGGAGAACAGUUCUAACAUCACACCAGGUCUAGAUCUUCAUAGGGUGUAUAUGUGAACUUUUUCCCCUCCCCUUUGUAAGGGUGUGUUUGGCCCACUGGUUUUGGAAUAGGGAAGUAUCGGUCUAAAACUUUUUUAAGAUA